GAUGAACGCUGGCGGCGUGCUUAACACAUGCAAGUCGAACGAUGAAGCCCAGCUUGCUGGGUGGAUUAGUGGCGAACGGGUGAGUAACACGUGAGUAACCUGCCAUUAACUCUGGGAUAAGCGUGGGAAACGGGGUCUAAUACCGGAUAGGAGCGCCUACCGCAGGGUGGGUGUUGGAAAGAUUUAUCGGUUUUGGAUGUACUCGCGGCCUAUCAGCAUGUUGGUGGGGUAAUGGCUCACCAAGGCGACGACGGGUAGCCGGCAUGAGAGGGUGACCGGCCACACUGGGACUGAGACACGGCCCAGACUCCUACGGGAGGCAGCAGUGGGGAAUAUUGCACAAUGGGCGAAAGCCUGAUGCAGCGACGCCGCGUGAGGGAUGACGGCCUUCGGGUUGUAAACCUCUUUCAGUAGGGAAGAAGCGAAAGUGACGGUACCUGCAGAAGAAGCACCGGCUAACUACGUG
rnacentral:rRNA from 1 species